rnacentral:tRNA from 1 species
GCAGAUUUAGGUUAAUUUGUUAAACUUUUGGUCUUCAAAACUAAAGAAAUAGUCUGUA